UGAAUGUCUUUGAGAAAUCGGGGUAUGC
rnacentral:sRNA from 1 species